CCGAGAAUAUUGGACAAUGGGCGAAAGCCUGAUCCAGCGACAUUGCGUGGAGGAUGAAGACGUUCGCGCCGUAAACUCCUUUUAUAGGGAAAGAAGUAAUUGACGGUACCCUAUGAAUAAGCGGGGGCUAAUUCUGUGCCAGCAGCAGCGGUAAUACAGAACCCGCAAGCGUUAUCCGGAUUUAUUGGGCGUAAAGUGUUCGUAGGCGGUUUGGAAAGUCUGAUAUCAAAUAUCCGGGCUCAACCCGGGACGCGUAUCAGAAACUUCCAAACUCGAAGGUGCUAGAGGCUAUCGGAACGCACGGUGUAGGGGUGAAAUCCGUUGAUAUCGUGCGGAACACCAAAAGCGAAGGCAGAUAGCUGGGGCAUUCUUGACGCUGAGGAACGAAAGCGUGGGGAGCAAAAAG
rnacentral:rRNA from 1 species